ACCACAACUGCAGCUGCAACCACAACUACACUUCCAACUACAACUGCAGCUCCAACCACAACUGCUGUAGCUUCUCGAGAGACCCCUGCAGCAAACGAGGGGUAUUUGAUUCUCAGCUUCAAAAUGGCAGGUGAUUUUGUUGAAGCACUCAAUGAUCCUAGCUCACCUGAGUACAUCAAACUGGAACUUAACGUUACAACUGAGCUGAAUCAUGUGUUCACGAAAGCGUACGGGGGCAAAUUCCUCAGGUGUAUUGUCAAAAGUUUCAGUCGUGGAUCAAUUGCAGUGGAAACAAAUGUGAUCUUCAUAAACCAGUCUUCAGUCCCCACCAUCACAGAUGCACAGCAGCAACUUGAGUCUGGAUCGGUCAACCUGCCCAUUAAUUCAUCCACCAUUCAGACAGUGGAUCCAACAGCAGUAACAUCAACUACAGCUACAGCACCUUCAACAACUGCAGUUCUAAGCACAACUGCAUCUGCAACCACAACUGAGGUCCCCACAACAACUACAUCAGUGCCGACUAUGAGUAUGAUGCCUACAACUACUGCAGCUGCUACAACUACUGCAGCCACAACAACGACAGAAGCUCCAGCCACAACUGUACCUCCAAACACUACUCCAGCUGUAACAACUACUGUACCUCCAACCAUGACUGAGGUCCCCACAACAACUACAGAGGCUCCCACAACUACUGCAGCCCCAAUAACUACAGAGUCUCC